rnacentral:tRNA from 1 species
GGGGGAUUUAGUCCAGUGGUAGGAUGCUCGCUUAGGGAGCGAAAGGUCCCGAGUUCAAUUCUCGGAAACCCCAUC